rnacentral:rRNA from 1 species
AAGUCGUAACAAGGUUUCCGUAGGUGAACCUGCGGAAGGAUCAUUAUCGAUUCAAAAAGGAUGUGCUGGCCGCAAGGAAAUGUGCACUCCGAAAACCACAUCCCCCUGUGCACUUAACUGUGGGUAAACGGGCAUAGCCUGUAGCUCAUGUUUUUACACACUCCAAAAACAUAUAUUAUGAAUGUAUAAAGUAGGCUUUCAAAGCCGAAAAUAAAACAAUACAACUUUCAACAAUGGAUCUCUUGGUUCUCGCAUCGAUGAAGAACGCAGCGAAUUGCGAUAUGUAAUGUGAAUUGCAGAAUUCAGUGAAUCAUCGAAUCUUUGAACGCACCUUGCACCCUCUGGUAUUCCGGAGGGUAUGCCUGUUUGAGUGUCAUUAACAUCUCAACACCUAAUGGGUCUUGUUACUCGUUCUGUGUUUGGAAUUUGAAGGUUGCCGGCUUCAAACCCAGCUCCUUUUAAAUGCAUGAGCAAAAGGAUUAUUCCGAGUCAGCUUCGGUUUGAUAAAUUGUUAUCAUCUAUCUGUCGCAGAGGAACUAUGAUCUGUUGCUUCUAAUUGUCCUUGGACUGUCUCUUUGUGAGGCAUUAUAAUUGACUCUUGACCUCAAAUCAGGUAGGACUACCCGCUGAACUUAAGCAUAUCAAUAAGCGGAGGAAAAGAAACUAACAAGGAUUCCCUUAGUAACUGCGAGUGAAGAGGGAAAAGCUCAAAUUUAAAAUCUGGCAGUCUUUGACUGUCCGAGUUGUAAAUUAGAGAAGUGUUAUCCGCGUUGGCCUGUGCAAAAGUCUCUUGGAAAAGGGCAUCAUAGAGGGUGACAAUCCCGUCUUUGGCACAGAUUACCGAGGCAUUUGUGAUACACUCUCAAAGAGUCGAGUUGUUUGGGAAUGCAGCUCCAAAUGGGUGGUAAAUUCCAUCUAAAGCUAAAUAUUGGCGAGAGACCGAUAGCGCACAAGUACCGUGAGGGAAAGAUGAAAAGAACUUUGAAAAGAGAGUUAAACAGUACGUGAAAUUGUUGAAAGGGAAACGCUUGAAGUCAGUCAUGUCCUUCAGUAAUCAACCCGACCUUUACGUUUGGGUGCACUUUCUGACUGGACAGGUCAGCAUCAAUUUUGACCGUUGGAUAAAGGCCUUGGGAAAGUGGCAUCCUCGGAUGUGUUAUAGCCCAUGGUUCAAAUACAACGAUUGGGAUUGAGGAACUCAGUGUGAAUUGGGGCUUUGGCUCACAUACACGCACUUAGGAUGCUGGCGUAAUGGCUUUAAUCGACC